UUUCGGCCGUAUCAGGUUGAAACACGGAUUCUCGUACGAUCACCAAAGUUAAACAACCUCGAGCAUGGUUACUACCUAAAUGGAUGAGCGCUUGGGAAUGUCACGAGCUGUG